rnacentral:rRNA from 1 species
UACGAAGGGGGGCUAGCGUUGCUCGGAAUCACUGGGCGUAAAGGGCGCGUAGGCGGCCAUUCAAGUCAGGGGUGAAAGCCUGUGGCUCAACCACAGAAUUGCCUUUGAUACUGUUUGGCUAGAGACCGGAAGAGGUAAGUGGAACUGCGAGUGUAGAGGUGAAAUUCGUAGAUAUUCGCAAGAACACCAGUGGCGAAGGCGGCUUACUGGUCCGGUUCUGACGCUGAGGCGCGAAAGCGUGGGGAGCAAACAGG